GACGAACGCUGGCGGCGUGCUUGACACAUGCAAGUCGAACGGAAAGGCCCUGCUUUUGUGGGGUGCUCGAGUGGCGAACGGGUGAGUAACACGUGAGUAACCUGCCCUUGACUUUGAGAUAACUUCAGGAAACUGGGGCUAAUACCGGAUAGGAGCUCCUGCUGCAUGGUGGGGGUUGGAAAGUUUCGGCGGUUGGGGAUGGACUCGCGGCUUAUCAGCUUGUUGGUGGGGUAGUGGCUUACCAAGGCUUUGACGGGUAGCCGGCCUGAGAGGGUGACCGGCCACAUUGGGACUGAGAUACGGCCCAGACUCCUACGGGAGGCAGCAGUGGGGAAUAUUGCACAAUGGGCGGAAGCCUGAUGCAGCAACGCCGCGUGCGGGAUGACGGCCUUCGGGUUGUAAACCGCUUUCGCCUGUGACGAAGCGUGAGUGACGGUAAUGGGUAAAGAAGCACCGGCUAACUACGUG
rnacentral:rRNA from 1 species